rnacentral:rRNA from 1 species
UACGAAGGUGGCAAGCGUUGUUCGGAUUUACUGGGCGUACAGGGAGCGUAGGCGGUUGGAUAAGCCCUCCGUGAAAAUCUCCAGGCUUAACCUGGAAAGUGCAGAGGGGACUGUUCAGCUAGAGGAUGGGAGAGGAGCGCGGAAUUCCCGGUGUAGCGGUGAAAUGCGUAGAGAUCGGGAGGAAGGCCGGUGGCGAAGGCGGCGCUCUGGAACAUUUCUGACGCUGAGGCUCGAAAGCGUGGGGAGCAAACAGG